CAUGACUUCAACGCAGGCUUUUCAAUUUUUCCAAGCGGAGGGAGCGAGGAAAAAAAACGUUAUCAAAAUUUAUUGAGCGCUGUCAUGAAGCUGUCAAAGUCGAUAUCAAAAACAUUUGAUUUUUGACUUUAUUUUGGCAGCCCACAAGCAACAAGCAGUCCGGAGUUCCGAGUCCCAAGGCCCGAGGCCAGGGCCCAACCCAAUUCCAGAGUCCCCAAAGAAGUCCCAGUCCAACCCCAAAAUCCCACCCAACGCACAUUAUAGCCGCGACCGUAUGUGAUUCCCCCUUUGUUGUUGUCUCGGCGAAAAGAAAGAAAUAAUCAUAAUAAAAAAGCCCAUAAAAGAGCCGUGAGCCAUGCAACCAUGUCAAAAAUUUUCAUGCUCUCCCAAGGCGCUGGCACAUUGAUAAAUUAAUGAUUGCCAAGGCUGGCAAAGACGUCGGAAUGGAAUGGAAUGGCGAAUAUAAAGCGACUGAGGUGCAGUCGAUGGGGUUGAAAGAGAUCCUUGGCUUCAAUAGGAAUUUCGUAGGCCUUCAACCUAAUGAAUAUUAAUCGUAGCCUGACUGACUGACUGAGUGAAUGCCCAGUGUUCGCCACUCGCACCUGUGUCUAUAUAUCAAGCAACAAAGCCACUUGUCUUAUCAGCCGGCGCGACUUUUCAGCAUGAGAGGUCCACUGGCGACUGUGGGCUGGCAGCAAGUUUUUAUGCUUUUUUGCGGUUUUGCCACUUGAAACGCUGAACAUGGCGGAUUAAUGUCAUUUAUCACUCUCUUGCUUUGCGGGGAAGGGGAUUUUGGAUUUCGAAUGGGCCUUUGGUUGGCAUUGGCAUUGGCAUUAGCAGGCAUUUGAAAUGUACAAAAUAAAUAAGGGACUCGCUGAAUCGCAAGCCUACACACUCGGUUACAGUUUAAGCCGUCGAUGUUGCUGGCUUUGUUCGCUCGGUUUUGCUUUGUUGCCGCAAAAAGGAUAAUGACAAAUAAUCAAGGAUAAACGCUUUUGAUUGAUCUUUAAUGGCAACUCGUUGCCUCCGUUCCCCAGUUGCCUUUGACAUCCGCAGGCGAAUGUAAAUCAUAUUAACUUAAAUGUACCAUAAAACAAACCAACGAGCCCAUGCGGAUUGGGUUGGCUUGCGACGAGAAACUGGGGUGGAGUGCGUGCCCAGGACACUUAUCCUUCGGGCCACACACGGGCUUAUGAGCUUGCCACAUUCUUUUGCAAUUGUACUGUGUAGCGGAAAAUGCUUUUCAAUAUAUCAAAGGGAGAGGGCAAAUAAAUAACAAGCUGAGACGAACCAGCUAAUGAAGGAGUCGACUGGGAAAUGCCCAUGGUCAAAAAGCAUUUGUAGAAAAGUAUUGUUAUAUUACAAAAUUAUUUUUUGUACAAAUCGACAAAAGCUUUGCUGUUUAUUAAUUUAAAGAUUUUCUUUAACAAAAAGUAAAUAGAUGCCGACAAGUAGAUGUC